rnacentral:rRNA from 1 species
AGUGAACGCUGGCGGUAGGCCUAACACAUGCAAGUCGAACGGCAGCACAGUAAGAGCUUGCUCUUACGGGUGGCGAGUGGCGGACGGGUGAGGAAUACAUCGGAAUCUACUUUUUCGUGGGGGAUAACGUAGGGAAACUUACGCUAAUACCGCAUACGACCUACGGGUGAAAGCAGGGGAUCUUCGGACCUUGCGCGAUUGAAUGAGCCGAUGUCGGAUUAGCUAGUUGGCGGGGUAAAGGCCCACCAAGGCGACGAUCCGUAGCUGGUCUGAGAGGAUGAUCAGCCACACUUGAACUGAGACGCGGUCCAGACUCCUACGGGAGGCAGCAGUGGGGAAUAUUGGACAAUGGGCGCAAGCCUGAUACAGCCAUACCGCGUGGGUGAAGAAGGCCUUCGGGUUGUAAAGCCCUUUUGUUGGGAAAGAAAAGCAGCAGGUUAAUACCCCGCUGUUCUGACGGUACCCAAAGAAUAAGCACCGGCUAACUUCGUG